GACGAACGCUGGCGGCGUGCUUAACACAUGCAAGUCGAACGGAAAGGCCUCUUUCGGGGGGUACUCGAGUGGCGAACGGGUGAGUAACACGUGAGUAACCUGCCCUUGAAUUUGGGAUAACUUCAGGAAACUGGGGCUAAUACCGGAUAGGAGCUCCUGCUGCAUGGUGGGGGUUGGAAAGUUUCGGCGGUUGGGGAUGGACUCGCGGCUUAUCAGCUUGUUGGUGGGGUAGUGGCUUACCAAGGCUUUGACGGGUAGCCGGCCUGAGAGGGUGACCGGCCACAUUGGGACUGAGGUACGGCCCAGACUCCUACGGGAGGCAGCAGUGGGGAAUAUUGCACAAGGGGUGGAAGCCUGAUGCAGCAACGCCGUGGGCGGGAUGACUGCCUUCUGGUUGUAAACCGCUUUCGCUCAUGACGAAGCUUUGUGUGACGGUAGUUAGUAAAGAAGCACCGGCUAACUACGUG
rnacentral:rRNA from 1 species